CCGUGGCCGUGUAUUUCUUCCCCGGGAGUGGGCUGUCCGCUGCCCGCGAAGAGGGCCCUGGACCGCACGCGAUGCGGCCGACCUAAUGCCCCCUGGGCGCGCUCCCGGAGGGCCGGCCAUCCCUGAUCUCUGAAAAGUGAAGGGGCAGGUGGGGUGGGAAGGCACAGAUGCCCUACUCGCCCCCACUCCUGCCCCAGGUGACUCCGUUUCCUGUGAUGCCCGCCAGAUCACCCUAACCUGAAAUUCAUAGCUGAGUCUCCCCUGGCCGACUCCUCCAGUGGCUCUCAGGAUUCCGGCAAACAGUGGUUUAGUUUCUUCCCCGGGAUUCCCAGACCCCAAACCAGCCCUCCUGGAUAAAGCAGGAGACCCAGCUGUGGGGUGCAGAUGCUCCUGGGGAGGAGGGAGGAAGCCUGAGAAAGAUGGAAAGUUGACGGACAUCCAGUGGUCCCAUGAUCAGGCCACACUGAAUGGAUCAUGCAGUCUCCAGCUCCGUGGCAGUGUGUGAAUUCACGUUUAGGCUGGAGGCAGGUCCCUGGGCCCUGCAGUUGAGGGUAUCUACUCUGGCUGAUCCCGAGGUCGGUGGGAAUGUCCCUGACUCAUGAGCCCUUCAAUCAGCCAACACAGCUUCGGGGCGAGGCACCCACCUGAAUGCUUCUGCCGCUGUGGAGCUUGGCUCUGGCACCUGAACAUAAGUAGACCUCGCACAAUUAACAGGGCGAGUUUUGAAUCUGCUGUUUCACAGCAGCCACUCAGGAAAACAAUCCAUUUAGAAAGGGCCAGGAGGAGUCUAUUUGGGAGUUGUCAUGAG